rnacentral:rRNA from 1 species
AGCGAACGCUGGCGGCAGGCUUAACACAUGCAAGUCGAGCGGGCGUAGCAAUACGUCAGCGGCAGACGGGUGAGUAACGCGUGGGAACGUACCUUUUGGUUCGGGAUAACCCAGGGAAACUUGGGCUAAUACCGGAUAAGCCCUUACGGGGAAAGAUUUAUCGCCGAAAGAUCGGCCCGCGUCUGAUUAGCUAGUUGGUGAGGUAACGGCUCACCAAGGCGACGAUCAGUAGCUGGUCUGAGAGGAUGAUCAGCCACAUUGGGACUGAGACACGGCCCAGACUCCUACGGGAGGCAGCAGUGGGGAAUAUUGGACAAUGGGCGCAAGCCUGAUCCAGCAAUGCCGCGUGAGUGAGGAAGGCCUUAGGGUUGUAAAGCUCUUUCACCCGCGACGAUGAUGACGGUAGCGGGAG